rnacentral:misc_RNA from 1 species
AAGCAUGCAGCAUCCAACACCCCAUUUGGGCUCUGGGGCACACAUGAGGCUGAGGCACUUGCCACAUUAUCAACAGCAGACCCACUAAUCAGUGACAAGUCUUUUAUCAGUUCAAUACACUUGAAUACUCUACCCUGCAUCAAAUAAAAAAAAUCCAUAAACAGGAAAAAAAAUCAAGGGCUUUCAUUUCACAAACUCAUCAAAUUGGUGAAAAGAUCAAACCAAAAGAUCUUUCAUUAGGAAAAGCAAUUUUGUCCUAUCUUUGGACUUUCACUUCUGUGGGCACCACACCAAUGCUUUUUUUUUCCUUGCCCUUUUACCUUUUCUACUUGGAUGAAACAGGGCACUGCCUUAUCAAUGUCCCCUGCUUGGAUUUCUCCUGAAACAGAUAUUGCUACUGCUGCUGCAAUCUCUGAAGGCCUGAAUUCCAAGAAGUCAAUACCUUUAAUUGUGCUUAAUAUUAGUUGCAAUGAUCUAAUUAUGGAUGAUGUUAAUAGAGGUUGAUCUCCAUUGAUCUUGCUAAGGAAAUAGUCUAGGAAGGAGCAGGGAGUGAGAGCUUGCAUUCUCCACUUCAACGUGCUCAACACCAAAAGCUCCAUUCUUUGUAUAGUUUUAGCUUCAAACACAAACUUGGGUUCCCCUACCUGUAAAUCUACAGAGAGAGGCACAUUAGCCUCCUCCAUUUUGACUGCUAGUGAUACGCAAGCCACAGCUAACAAUUGCACAGUCCAAGCUUUACCCUUAGGCAGUUGAUAGAAUGAUAGGAACCGAUCUAAGUAAUUCAUUGAUAGGCAAACACUCAACGGUCCAAAAUUGCAGUGGGCUUGAGCCUGUUGGUCAUGAGCAAAGGAAAUCAAUAAGAAUCAGUGAAUAAUCCAUCCUGCACACCAAAUUAUUUGCCACAAGUGAGGAAAGCAUAUAAGGCAUUUUACUGAAAACAUUUGGAUGAUGAGAAGUCCAAUUUCAAAUUGCAAAAGAAUUUCCAUACAACUGGCGAAGGGGACUGGACUUGAACAUUAGCAAUCCUUUAAAAACUUUUGGAGAUUGAUUGAUCAAAAGGCAGAAGCAACUCCUUUCAGAAAUCAAAUGGAAAUCAAUGAAAGCAACAAAAAACACAUUGUUGCUGGAAAACGAAAACCCACUGGCAGAAACCAGAAGCAAAAUCCAAAAACCCAUUUAAGAAACCAAUAAAAAAAUAAGCAACCUUCCAAAUCCAAUCAAGAGCCUCUCUCCUAACACUCAAGUCCAAAUCCCCACUUCUUAAUCUCUUUAGGUAAUCAUCUCUGGGCAAAUGCUCUAUUUCCCUCUUAACCAUUUCCUUCACUCUGUCUUCACUAUGAAUCGUAAAACCCAACAAGGAUUUGCAGCUAUCAUUAUCAGAAAAAAGGUCUUGAUUGUGACUUUGAUUGUCUUGAUGAUGCAAAGAAAGAGAAAUCCCAAACUCAUCUGUGGCAUUGCAAUCAAGAUCAUCAAAACAAGUGUUUGAGUUCUCUGCACACAGAAGGCUCGAGAAUGCUAGGCCAGGAUUCUGUGCCAUUGUCAAUGCCGCAGAUAUGAGACGUAAACUCAAGAAAAUUUCAUCAAACAGAAAGUGUCACAGAAUGUUGUAUCUAUGGUUUACAGAGAAAAGCUUUUUGUUUCUUCAUAUGUGACAAACCCAGAUAGAGAUAGAUAGGAGGAGAGAGAAUGGGGGCAGGGGCUGGGUAGAAGGCAUAGCAAAGGAAGGACCUUUAUGUAGACAAUGUACAUACAAUUUCUAGGGCGAAACAAGACAGCGAGAAGCGAGAGAGAGAGAG